UGCCACCUACGGGACGCAGCAGUGAGGAAUAUUGGUCAAUGGCCGAGAGGCUGAACCAGCCAAGUAGCGUGCAGGAUGACGGCCCUCGUGGUUGUAAACUGCUUUUAGUCGGGAAUAAAAGGGGGUUCGUGAAUCCCGUAUUGUAUGUACCGUCAGAAAAAGGACCGGCUAAUUCCGUGCCAGCAGCCGCGGUAAUACGGAAGGUCCGGGCGUUAUCGGGAGUUAUUGGGUUUAAAGGGAGCGUAGGCGGGCCGUUAAGUCAGUUG
rnacentral:rRNA from 1 species